GAUCCUGGCUCAGGAUGAACGCUAGCUACAGGCUUAACACAUGCAAGUCGAGGGGCAGCAUGGUUUUAGCUUGCUAAGGCCGAUGGCGACCGGCGCACGGGUGAGUAACACGUAUCCAACCUGCCGUCUACUCUUGGGCAGCCUUCUGAAAGGAAGAUUAAUACAAGAUGGCAUCAUGAGUCCGCAUGUUCACAUGAUUAAAGGUAUUCCGGUAGACGACGGGGAUGCG
rnacentral:rRNA from 1 species